rnacentral:rRNA from 1 species
AUUGAACGCUGGCGGCAGGCCUAACACAUGCAAGUCGAACGAGUGGCGGACGGGUGAGUAAUGUCGGGGAAACUGCCUGAUGGAGGGGGUUAACUACUGGAAACGGUAGCUAAUCCCGCAUACCAUCGGAUGUGCCCAGAUGGGAUUAGCUAGUAGGUGGGGUAAAGGCUCACCUAGGCGACGAUCCCUAGCUGGUCUGAGAGGAUGACCGGCCACACUGGAACUGAGACACGGUCCAGACUCCUACGGGAGGCAGCAGUAGGGAAUAUUGCGCAAUGGGCGAAAGCCUGAUGCAGCCAUGCCGCGUGUAUGAAGAAGGCCUUCGGGUUGUAAAGCACUUUCAGCGGGGAGGCGUUACCCACAGAAGAAGCACCGGCUAACUCCGUGCCAGCAGCCGCGGUAAUUC